UAGAAUCUGGUGGAGGAGCUCCAUAAUUUCAGUAGGAAAUAGAAAUUUUCUUAUUGAUGAAGUAAAAACUUGGCCAGAAUUUGUUUAAUAGUACCAUGACACCCUUUCUGUAAGCGGAAUUUCACAAUGGAAACAGACAAUCCUUAUAAAAAUUAGUACUAGGAAAAAUUACAAAAUACGACCGCCACUUAAAAAUUACUUGGAAUAAUACCAAAAACCAAUGCCAAUGGGAAACAAACAAAUAAAUCUACGAACCAAAACUUGCCGACUUAAAAUUUGAAAACUCGCACUAAUAAUUACUUGAUAAGACUGUCUCCUAUUUCCAGGUCCUCAAAGUAGUCGGCCGCUGGCUGGUUUUUGUAUUGAGCUGAGCUGGUUGCGGUGGUAGUAGCGUUCAGCUCCAAAACCAGGACACUAAUGAAUUGAAAGGCAGAUUUUGUGAAAAUGGGGAUCAUGGUGUUGACAAAAUAUGAAGAGAGGGAGAAAGAAAAUUUGGAAUCGGCUUUCAAUUAUGUUGAUAGCCGUUGAUAAAUCAAAAUUCAUCCUUAUCCAAAGAAAGACUAGUAAUAAUGGAAUGGCUAAAAUAAUUCUCAUGGACAAAGGUCACACUCAAAACUAUAUCACCACGUGAGAUGUUGUGACCCACUUGAUCUUAACUGAGAUUUCGUAGCCGAAGAUCCUGGGCUGUGUCUGGGGCCUGUCCUUGAGUUGAGACAGCUUCGAGAUAUGGCACUACCACAGCCACCAAUUUUCCCUAUAAUCCUAGCAAACUUCAAUACCUAAAUGUAUAAAUCAAUUCGGCAGAAAAUAAUAAUAAUAAUAAAUAAAUAAAAAGAAAGGCAGUAUAAAGCGAAAUGCUUAAUUCUAGGAUUGGAAAUGACGUGCUCUCUCAGACAUCCUGAAUCCUUCUUGGAAUUGAGAGGAAGCGGAAUUGCAUUUUUUAUUUUUUUUUGGAUACGAGCUACGCAAGUCACGUUGGGUUUACAGAGACACGGAUGGUACCCAUCAGAACGACAUGUCAGUCCCUCUCAAAAUUCCCAAGAAAGCAAAAAACGAAAAUUCCAAUUAAGAGAAAAACAAUCCAAAACAAACAAAUCCCACCAGGCCACCACCUUCAAUAAGAUGGGGGGAGUUUAAAGGAAAGCGAUGGGGUCGUGUGGGAAGCGGAGAUGGAUAUAUAGCAUAUCUCACCUCUGGGAUUCUACUGUUCCUCGUUGUAUUUUUUUGGUUGCAAUGACUGUAUAGAUUCCCAACUUUGGCUUCAGUCCUUCGGAAUGCCAACAAAAUUACACCAGACAAGGGCUUCAGGUAUCAGUCCAUUAACAGUGCCUCUUACUCCCCCUCUCUCUUUCUAUCACAUUAUGAAAUUAUUGAGGCACUCCCACACUCUUCCUUUUGACUUGACCACUUGACUAUCCAAAACCUUUGUAUCCAUCUCUUCCUUUCUGUAUUCCUCCCUCUUUUGCAAUUAUGAAUUGCCCAGUCUCCAUGAACAAAGCAGAACAAAACAAAAAGAAAAACCAUUCUUCAGAACCCACCAGCUUUGUGAAGCACCUGCUCAUCAUACCAUACCAACAACUCUCCCAACAUACACACAAAAACCUCAACUUUUAGGUGAU
rnacentral:lncRNA from 1 species